AAACUGAGGGCAGAACUUUGAUUCAUCCAAGUGUUGUUGAUUCUUCAAGAACACAGGAUUCAAGAAUGAGGGGCGCAUGGAGGCUUGCCGAAGGAGGCUUGCAUGGAAAGCUGCCAAAGCCAGGCAAUGUAUGGCUGGGUUGGAUUCCCUACAUCGAGGCCCUGAAAGGUGUGGUGGUGUCCGCCUGUGAUUCUGAACUUGGGAGAAUAUGAUAAAGAGAGUUACUACAGGUUUGAGGCCAGCAACGGUAACAGACCCGAUCCUCCUGCCUAGGAAUGGUGCUGCCCACAGUGGGCUUAAUCCUCCCACAUUAAUCAUCAGUCAAGACAAUCUCUUGUGGACAAUUCCUCAGUAGUUCAGAUUUCCUCUUCCCAGCAAAUAAUUGCUCAGAAAGAUAAACAGUUGACGGAGAUUCCUCUGGCCCAAGAAUUCUACCAUGUUGCCCAGAAAAGGGAGGCCUGGAGACUAUAUCAGGGGCUCACUCACCUGCCAGGAGUUUUGAGCUACUGCAAGAGCUGUGCCAGGAAUGCAUAAACUAAAGGCCCCAUGAGCGACAUAAGCCUGUCACACACUGCCAUUCUUCAGAAUGUAUAUAGAAGAACCAUAUUCAGGUCAAGAUGACAGAAUUGCUCCAGGGGACCAAAGUUUUAGUGCCAACUGUAGGAUUGAAUCUAGAAGCAGGAGAAAAUGAGGAGAAAUGUGAACGUUUGAAUAAUGUCCUGAAUUCACUCACCUUCAGAAUGAGAAAUACCAAAGCUAGGAGCAACAACUCACCCAUGAUUGCUCAACCAGUGAAUGCUAAAUUCAAACCCAGUCAGCCAGUCAGCUGGUUUAGAGAGUGAAGACACUUGACUGACAUUCCCCGGGAAGAUGCUCUCAACAGUUGUACUGGUGAG
rnacentral:lncRNA from 1 species